UACGAGGGGGGCAAGCGUUGUUCGGAAUUAUUGGGCGUAAAGGGUGCGUAGGCGGUUCGGUAAGUCUCCAGUGAAAUCUAUGGGCUCAACCCAUAGUCUGCUGGGGAAACUGCCGGGCUUGAGUGUGGGAGAGGUGAGUGGAAUUCCCGGUGUAGCGGUGAAAUGCGUAGAUAUCGUAAGGAAGACCAGUGGCGAAGGCGGGUCUCUGGACAGAUCCUGACACUGAGGCACGAAGGCCAGGGGAGCAAACGGG
rnacentral:rRNA from 1 species